rnacentral:rRNA from 1 species
AGUGAACGCUGGCGGUAGGCCUAACACAUGCAAGUCGAACGGCAGCACAGUAAGAGCUUGCUCUUACGGGUGGCGAGUGGCGGACGGGUGAGGAAUACAUCGGAAUCUACUUUUUCGUGGGGGAUAACGUAGGGAAACUUACGCUAAUACCGCAUACGACCUACGGGUGAAAGCAGGGGAUCUUCGGACCUUGCGCGAUUGAAUGAGCCGAUGUCGGAUUAGCUAGUUGGCGGGGUAAAGGCCCACCAAGGCGACGAUCCGUAGCUGGUCUGAGAGGAUGAUCAGCCACACUGGAACUGAGACACGGUCCAGAAUCCUACGGGAGGCAGCAGUGGGGAAUAUUGGACAAUGGGCGCAAGCCUGAUCCAGCCAUACCGCGUGGGUGAAGAAGGCCUUCGGGUUGUAAAGCCCUUUUGUUGGGAAAGAAAAGCAGCAGGUUAACACCCCGCUGUUCUGACGGUACCCACAGAAUAAGCACCGGCGAACUUCGU